GAGUGCUCUCACAGCUCCUCCAACAAUAAUGGCAGAAGUCAAGCUCUUUAGGACAUGGUCAAGCCCCUUUUCUUUGAGAAUAGUUUGGGCACUGAAGCUCAAAGAUGUUCAGUAUGAUACCAUUUUUGAGGAUCUCUCAAACAAAAGCCCUUUGCUCCUUCAAUACAACCCUGUUCAUAAGAAAAUUCCAGUGCUUGUACACAAUGGAAAAGCAGUUGCUGAAUCAUUUGUAAUUCUUGAAUACAUUGAAGAAACAUGGAAACAUAACCCUUUCCUGUCUGAAGAUCCUCAUGAAAGAGCUGCUGCUCGCUUUUGGGCCAAAUUUGGUGAUGAGAAGGUUUUGCCAUCAAUUUGGGACGCUUUUAUAAGUCAAGGAAAAGAGCAAGAAGAAGGGAUUGUGAAGGCCAAGGAUAACUUGAAGUAUUUGGAAGAGGAGCUAAAGGGGAAGACAUUCUUUGGGGGAGACCAUAUUGGAUUUGCAGAUAUUGCACUUGGGUGGCUAACUGAAUAUUUGGAUGUGUUUGAAGAGGUAACUAGCAUGAAACUGAUAGCAGAAGAUGAGCUCCCAUUGUUAUCAAAAUGGAAAAAGAUUUUUGCAGAUGCUCCUAUGAUCAAAGAGAAUUGGCCUCCCAGAGAUAAACUUGUCACCAAAUUUCAGGCUCUCCGUGAGGCCAGCCUCUUGAAAAAGGUACCUAAAUGAAGUUGUUUGUGGCACCAGAGAGGGAUUAGAGCAUAAAUAAUAAGGGGUUCUAGCUAGGAGUCAAGGUAACUAAUGCAAGGCCGGCUUUGUAUUGUAUGACAAUAACACUGUAAUCCAUAAGGGGGAAUUUUGUGUCAAAUGGAUUUCAAACUCUAGUAUGAGAAGUCUGUUGUGUGGUUUAGUAUUGUUGCUCUUCACUCUUCUACACACGUUUCUUGCGCCAAUCAAAAAUCCUAGAGGUUUAAAACUACAGCCACAAAUUCAGAGUA